AGGACGAACGCUGGCGGCGUGCUUAACACAUGCAAGUCGAGCGGAAAGGCCCUUCGGGGUACUCGAGCGGCGAACGGGUGAGUAACACGUGAGUAACCUGCCCCUAGCUCUGGGAUAGCUCCGGGAAACCGGGAUUAAUACCAGAUACGACCACUUUAGACAUCUGUCGUGGUGGAAAGGAUUCCGGCUAGGGAUGGGCUCGCGGCCUAUCAGCUUGUUGGUGGGGUAACGGCCUACCAAGGCGACGACGGGUAGCCGGCCUGAGAGGGCGACCGGCCACACUGGGACUGAGACACGGCCCAGACUCCUACGGGAGGCAGCAGUGGGGAAUAUUGCGCAAUGGGCGAAAGCCUGACGCAGCGACGCCGCGUGGGGGAUGAAGGCCUUCGGGUUGUAAACCCCGUUUCAGCAGGGACGAAGCGAAAGUGACGGUACCUGCAGAAGAAGCGCCGGCUAACUACGUGCCAGCAGCCGC
rnacentral:rRNA from 1 species